UUCCUACGGGGGGCAGCAGUGGGGAAUAUUGCACAAUGGGCGAAAGCCUGAUGCAGCAACGCCGCGUGAAGGAAGAAGGUCUUCGGAUCGUAAACUUCUGUCCUUGGGGAAGAUAAUGACGGUACCCUUGGAGGAAGCCCCGGCUAACUACGUGCCAGCAGCCGCGGUAAUACGUAGGGGGCAAGCGUUAUCCGGAAUUAUUGAGUUUAAAGGGUGCGCAGGCGGUCUGUUAAGUCAGCGGUCAAAGCCCGGGGCUCAACCCCGGCCCGCCGUUGAAACUGGCAGUCUCGAGUUGGGGAGAAGUA
rnacentral:rRNA from 1 species